UACGUAGGGCGCAAGCGUUGUCCGGAAUUAUUGGGCGUAAAGCGCGCGUAGGCGGUUACUUAAGUCGGAUGUGAAAGCCCUCGGCUUAACUGAGGAAGUGCACCCGAAACUGAGUAGCUAGAGUACGAAAGAGGGUCGCGGAAUUCCCGGUGUAGAGGUGAAAUUCGUAGAUAUCGGGAGGAACACCGGUGGCGAAGGCGGCGACCUGGGUCGAGACUGACGCUGAGGCGCGAAAGCGUGGGGAGCAAACAGG
rnacentral:rRNA from 1 species